CUCUCCGUGGAGGUUCGUCCGACGUGCUCAUGCCCCCCCCCGCCCCCCGCGAACUCCCCUGGUGUUAUAAAAGCGCAGAGCGCGUCACAAAUGCGCACAGAGAGCGAGUUUCGGGUCUGCGGUGCAACCAUGGCCGAAGCUUCCACAGAAGAGGCUUCCAACAUGCCAACGACAACAGAGCCGAGUUGGACAGCUGAGGCAGAAAAGGCUACGACUGAAUCAGCUGCACCAACAUGGGAUCCACAAAUGCAGCCACCGGGAGGAAAGAAGACAGCAUCAGAGAUGCGGAACAACCUGUGGAAGGGCCAGUUGAGGGAAAUCAUCCCACUGGCUAUUUCCGCUUGGGAGACUAUGGAGACCUUGAUACCGGUUCUGAGUAUCGUGAGAAAAAUCGUGAUCAUGGCUCUGAGAGUACUCGCGAUGGUUGGUGCGAUGAUGAAGCAAGGAGGGAAGAAGGCCGGGGCUCUUGGAGGAGGAGCUUUUGGAGGUGUGACAAACAUUGUGAGAGCAUUGCAGCCACGAAACCGUGCACCAGAACCAGGACCUUCUGGAAUGCAGAACGUCGAGAGUUCAAUCUAAGAACCGAGUUAUGUGAGGACGAGCCAGCCCUACACCCCUACACCCCCAUGAGUUUAUACCUGAGCAAAGUGGAGCGCAUAGAGUUAAUUACAAGGGCAAGAACUAAAUUUGGCAUCUUUUUAUUUAAAUCUCUCUCACUUCCUUGGUCCACUUGUCUUUUUUUGGAUUCCCAAAGAAUCUGAAUAUCUAAAAUGUGUAAAACGAUGAUCUUUCCAAUCACCACUUAGAUCAUUGAAUGCUUUUUAUUUGUUUUACACAAAAUAAAUGACUGGAAAGGUUUAAUCGGGAGUGUUGUCGUUAAUUUGU
rnacentral:lncRNA from 1 species